CCCUCCUACAAAGGCGUGUCUGUGGUUUCCCGUCUUUGGACACGUAAGAAUUGGAGGCAAAGAAAUGUGGACUUGGAGAAGUCUGGGGCCAGCUUGUUCCCUGCAGGCUCAAGAUCAACCAUCCCACAUAG
ensembl:snoRNA SNORA38 small nucleolar RNA, H/ACA box 38